rnacentral:rRNA from 1 species
ACGAACGCUGGCGGCGUGCUUAACCCCUGCCAGUCGCACGGAAAGGCCUCUUUCGGGGGGUACUCGAGUGGCGAACGGGUGAGUAACACGUGAGUAACCUGCCCUUGACUUUGGGAUAACUUCAGGAAACUGGGGCUAAUACCGGAUAGGAGCUCCUGCUGCAUGGUGGGGGUUGGAAAGUUUCGGCGGUUGGGGAUGGACUCGCGGCUUAUCAGCUUGUUGGUGGGUAGUGGCUUACCAAGGCUUUGACGGGUAGCCGGCCUGAGAGGGUGACCGGCCACAUUGGGACUGAGAUACGGCCCAGACUCCUACGGGAGGCAGCAGUGGGGAAUAUUGCACAAUGGGUGGAAGCCUGAUGCAGCAACGCCGUGUGCGGGAUGACGGCCUUCGGGUUGUAAACCGCUUUCGCUCAUGACGAAGCUUUGUGUGACGGUAGUGGGUAAAGAAGCACCGGCUAACUACGUG